rnacentral:lncRNA from 1 species
AGGAGAUGAAAUCCUGAAAAUCAAUAGAAUGGAUGUAUGGGACAAGACUCCAGAACAGGUCAAAGAGUACAUGGAGAGUGGCUCUGUUAUUCUGAGAAUGAAACAGAAGAAACCUAAAGAUUCCAAAAGCAUCCACUUUGUCUCAGAGGAGAAGACCAUGCUCUCCUUCUGUCUGGAUUUGUCUGAAGUUGAUUGUAUGCCGAUGGAUAAUGUGGAGGUUGAUGAAGACUUGGACAAGGAAAGCCCACUGGAUGUCCUUAUGCCACACGCCAUGAUAAAUCGAAAUUUUGACUUUACAUUCCCCUGCACACAUCAGACUGAUGAGACAGACAGUAGCACAGUUUGCAGGGAUGUUCAUUUCAAUUUCUCAUUCUCUCGGGAAUGCAGAGCUAUUGACAGUCAAACCAACAAUGAAUACAAGUUCAUUGGUCCAAAAGACACCUUAGGAAAAACUUCAGCUCACAUCACGAUAUUCCACUAUGAUUCAGUUAAUAAGGGAUGCUUCAUUGGCUCUCCUGUCGCCUUAAAAUUCACUAAAGCUCAAACAUUCCUGAAAUGCACCAAAGAAGAAGGAAAGGACAAGGUGAAAGUCCAGUCUGAGUCUUGUGAGGAAAGCAGACUGAAAAACAAGAUAAACAAAGGUGAUGAAGACAUUAUGCCAUUUGUUUUCUACAUGAAACAACACUUGGAUUCAACUUGCUCUUUUGAAUCAGCCAUGUACAGCAAGUUCUUCAUUUGUGCGCAGAAGAAACGCUUGCAUCUGAAUAAUCAAUGGGAUGACAAAGAUGAAGCAUUCUACUUCAGAAUCAGAAAAUAAACAGAAAAGCUUCAGUUGUUCAAAAAAGUUAAAUAAUCUGGAUUAUCCUUGUGUGAUUUGUGUGCUAGAUAGUAUUUAGCUAUUGGGCUGAAUUGAAUUUGUAUGGAUGGUUCUUAUUGUAUUUUCUGUCUCAUUUAUCCUGUCACAUGUUAUGAAAGAUAGAAAUAUGCAGACUGUCACACCCC